rnacentral:tRNA from 1 species
GCGGUUGUGGCGGAACUGGCAGACGCACUAUCUUGAGGGGGUAGCGAGCGACGCUCAUGUGGGUUCAAAUCCCACCAACCGCACCA